CCUAAGUGGAGACUGUAGGAAUCUAAGAAUCACUGAGGCCAAAAGGGCAAGUCUGUGUAUAUGCCCAGACCUGCACUAUUCUCUGAGGUGCAACAAGACACAGCAUAAAAGAACUUCCUGACCCAAAAUGGACACGAAAUAUCUCCCCAAGAAGAACAAACAGUUGUUCUGAGUUAACUUGAAUAAACAGAAAGCAAGUGUAAUGUUACUUCAGAUAAGCUAAAGGGUAGUCUGCUUGCUUGGCUGUGAAUUAUUAGACACAAGCCAUUUGAAAGUAAGAAAUUUUACUGGAGACACAAGUUAGUGCAUAAUGUUGCAAAAUUUUACAUAAAAAAGGCACAAAGAACUUGAUUAUACAGACAUGACAAUUUUGUACCUGAAAUUAACUUGAAUUAAAAAACAUUUUACUGAAGCAUUGCCAAAUAUCAAGUGUUAAAUCCAUGAAAAUAAAAGAAACCAAAACAAAAGGUAGAGUAAGUAGGGCCAUUUUAUGAAGACAGGAAAUUCCAACAUUUAAUAAUGACACCAGUAGUAAAGCAUUGCUAAAACCAUUGGCAAUAUUUGCUAGAAAUGUGAAUAUGUAAAUCACACUGGGCAAGACAAAAGCACAUGUCCCCAAAACUGUCUUCCCUCAGACAUUAGUUUUGGGGACAAAUACAUGCUCUGCAGUUUUGAAGAUGGUAUGAGUCUGCUUCAAACCGUGAAAGUUGAGUAAAAAGACUGAACUAGAGCACACAACAAACAGUUAUUUACAUUUUAAUGACUCGGUACCUUUUGGGCACCUCAGUUUGAGACAAAAAUUUAAAUUUAAGAAUUCAUAUGGCACAUCAAAAACUACUAUUUGUAGUCUCUUAAUCAAGUUACAAUGCAGAUGUCCAAGGUUUUAUAAAAAGCACCACAUGCUUCAGAAAUGAACCCAAGACAGUGCUCCAGUCAAGCCUAAAGAAGAAACUUCAAAAAAUCCCAAAGACAGAGUACUCUGUAUAAGCAGUUGGGCAAGAGACAUUUCUAAAUCUGAAGGGAAGUAUUGUUUUACUUUGUGUGUCAACUAUUUGCAAAAGAUUACGAUAAAGCAAUGCAUGUCUCCCACUUCAAUAUCCAAAUUUCUUAGCAAGAGUUUUAGUAAUGAUUUUAUCUGUGCAAGGUUUGUAUAAUUUUCUAACUUUCUUUUGUCAGCACUUAAGAAUUGCAGAUUAAAAUAAUCAGGAAAUGAGUGAUCUUGCCUCAAACAAUACAAUCCCAUAAGAAAUUACAUUUUAGUAGCUAAAAGAAUUCCCUUACCACUUGUAGAAGUUGGGUGAUAUAAUAGUGCUGAUUGUCUCUCAAGUCAGAGGAUUUAAUGUAGCUGCACACAGCAUGAGUGCAAGGACUAAGGACCUUUUUUCUAGAACAGAUUUGCUGUGAGCACACCCAUUUCUUAACUCACAAGGAGAGGCGAGAAUUAGUUUAUUGAAAAAAAGAAAGAAUGGAGAGAAAUAUGAAAGGAAUGUUCAAUGAAAAAAACCAGUCUGAUUCAGUUUUUAAAACAAACUGGAGAGAAUGUAGGAGUCUAAACACCCAUCUCCUAUCUCAUGGUGAACAGAACACAGCUGCCACUGAAAAGUCAACUUAAAACAAAUACACAAGAUUAAUCACUGACCCAACUAAUUCAUUAUUCUGUUCCAGAGCCUCAGUUUUACGGAUGUCUGCCAAAAACUGUCGUUGUGUUACCUGGUAUAUUAAGGUCUUUGGAACAUGUUUCAAAGUGUGCACACAGCAGGAAUUGAAGGUCCCCUUCAAGGACCCACACGUGAAGGUAACUGAGGACACCGUGCAGGCUGGAGUCAGGCUAACAGGUUAACCUUUUCCUUCAAACCUAUGGCUCAAAUGAGCACUUUCAUGUUACAAAUCCAGAACCAUAAAGCAGCUGAGUGCAUGGGCAACAGCAGUAGAGGAUGUUUUUAGUUUGCUAAAUUGGAAUGGUCAUGGAGGUAAUCCGGACUCCUGUGCUAACGAAGUUAUCGCCUCACGCCCCUCAAGUAUGACAAGUCAUUUAAAGAAUUCUCAUUUGGACAUUUUAUACAGUGGAAAAGAGAAAAGAGCUUUGCUCUGGCCUUGUCAUUCAACUCAACUGUGUGGGCAGAGGUGGCAGGAAAAGAUAUAAUGCAGUACAACUUAUGUAAAUUGUAACCUGUUUUAAAACCUUUUUUUCACACUUUGUCAGCCAGGCUUCAAACAGGGAGGUAUUAAUACUUCCCAGAGUAGAUGGAGACAUACUGUUUGUGCAAUUUUAAAUUCUAAACCUAGAUUAGCACUUAUGUCUGACUAUGUCCAAAGUACUGCAUUAGGGAGUAUGGUAUUAGGGUCCUCAUUACAUGAAAAAAACCCACAAUAAACCAUAGCACUGCUAUCAUCUAAGCUCUUCCCUACUUUGUAAGAAAAGUCCAAUUUGAAAUUUCUCACAGACUUUUUUCCUGCAGCUUCCUCCCAUCAGACACUGAUGGUACUGAUUUUCCUUUUCCUCUACUGUAUUCCAUUCCUGUUAGUUGACUGUCAUUAUCCACUGAUAAAACAAUUAUAUGGCAGGAUCUGUGAAAAUAAAAUCGUUCCAUAAGUGCA